rnacentral:sRNA from 1 species
UAACCAAGAUCGGCAGGUGAGGGGUGCUC